GAAUUAUUUCCCAUUCCCAAAUCCACAAGUGCCUAGCUUAUUCUUUGUGAAAUAUGAAGUAGUUUAAUUUAUACAGAAUCAGUAGGCAAAAGAACCAAGAUAAAAAUCCUGGGAAUUAUUCGUAUGAGAGGAUUGAAGAGAAGUUCGUUACAUGAGCAUGAAUUUAGUGCUAUUAUUUGAUCAUCCCCAGCAUUACAGAGAAAGAAAGUGCACAUGCACACCCACGAGAACAAAGAAGGGAAGGGACAGAGGAAGAGAGAGAGAGAAUCCUAAGCAGUUUCCACAUUCAGCGCAGAGAAUGAUGCAAGAUCAAUCACAAGACUGAGAUCAUGACCUGAGCCGCAAUCAAGAGUUGGAUGCUUAACUGAUUGAGCCACCCAGGCAUCCAGAUACUGCUUUUAAAAAAAUAGCACUUUACUAUUUACAAUUUGCCCUCGUGUGUCAGUAUGUGUGUAAGGUAAAUUCCUAGAGAUGUAAUUUGUGAAUCACAGCAAAAAAAAUUUUUUUUUAAUGGCCAAAGAUUGCCAUUUCUGCCACACCUAACCCCUAACAAACUGUAGAAGCAAUUCAGAAU
rnacentral:lncRNA from 1 species